rnacentral:tRNA from 1 species
UCUCUCGUAGCUUAGUGGUAAGAGCAUUGGUGCGUCCCGGGUUCAAUUCCCGGCGGGUGGU